AUUGAACGCUGGCGGCAGGCUUAACACAUGCAAGUCGAGCGGGGGAAGGUAGCUUGCUACCGGACCUAGCGGCGGACGGGUGAGUAAUGCUUAGGAAUCUGCCUAUUAGUGGGGGACAACAUCUCGAAAGGGAUGCUAAUACCGCAUACGUCCUACGGGAGAAAGCAGGGGAUCUUCGGACCUUGCGCGAAUAGAUGAGCCUAGGUCGGAUUAGCUAGUUGGUGGGGUAAAGGCCUACCAAGGCGACGAUCUGUAGCGGGUCUGAGAGGAUGAUCCGCCACACUGGGACUGAGACACGGCCCAGACUCCUACGGGAGGCAGCGGUGGGGAAUAUUGGACAAUGGGGGGAACCCUGAUCCAGCCAUGCCGCGUGUGUGAAGAAGGCCUUAUGGUUGUAAAGCACUUUAAGCGAGGAGGAGGCUACUCUAGUUAAUACCUAGGGAUAGUGGACGUUACUCGCAGAAUAAGCACCGGCUAACUCUGUGCCAGCCGCCGCAGUAA
rnacentral:rRNA from 1 species